rnacentral:rRNA from 1 species
UUGGCGGACGGGUGAGUAACGCGUAAGAACCUGCCCUUGGAGGGGGACAACAGCUGGAAACGGUUGCUAAUACCCCAUAGGCUGAGGAGCAAAAGGAGGAAUCCGCCCAAGGAGGGGCUUGCGUCUGAUUAGCUAGUUGGUGAGGCAAUGGCUUACCAAGGCGACGAUCAGUAGCUGGUCUGAGAGGAUGAUCAGCCACACUGGGACUGAGACACGGCCCAG